rnacentral:rRNA from 1 species
AAAUAGAUACCCGGGUAGUCCACGCCCUAAACGAUGUCAACUAGCUGUUGGGGUUUAUUAACCUUAGUAGCGCAGCUAACGCGUGAAGUUGACCGCCUGGGGAGUACGGUCGCAAGAUUAAAACUCAAAGGAAUUGACGGGGGACCCGCACAAGCGGUGGAUGAUGUGGAUUAAUUCGAUGCAACGCGAAAAACCUUACCUACCCUUGACAUGUCCGGAAUUCUGAAGAGAUUCAGAAGUGCUCGCAAGAGAACUGGAACACAGGUGCUGCAUGGCUGUCGUCAGCUCGUGUCGUGAGAUGUUGGGUUAAGUCCCGCAACGAGCGCAACCCUUGCCAUUAGUUGCUACAUUUAGUUGGGCACUCUAAUGGGACUGCCGGUGACAAACCGGAGGAAGGUGGGGAUGACGUCAAGUCCUCAUGGCCCUUAUGGGUAGGGCUUCACACGUCAUACAAUGGUCGGGACAGAGGGUUGCCAAGCCGCGAGGCGGAGCCAAUCUCAGAAACCCGAUCGUAGUCCGGAUCGCAGU